AGUGAACGCUGGCGGUAGGCCUAACACAUGCAAGUCGAACGGCAGCACAGAGGGGCUUGCUCCUUGGGUGGCGAGUGGCGGACGGGUGAGGAAUACAUCGGAAUCUACUCUGUCGUGGGGGAUAACGUAGGGAAACUUACGCUAAUACCGCAUACGACCUACGGGUGAAAGCAGGGGACCUUCGGGCCUUGCGCGAUUGAAUGAGCCGAUGUCGGAUUAGCUAGUUGGCGGGGUAGAGGCCCACCAAGGCGACGAUCCGUAGCUGGUCUGGCAGGCUGAUCAGCCACCCUGGAACUGAGACACGGUCCAGACUCCUACGGGAGGCAGCAGUGGGGAAUAUUGGACAAUGGGCGCAAGCCUGAUCCAGCCAUACCGCGUGGGUGAAGAAGGCCUUCGGGUUGUAAAGCCCUUUUGUUGGGAAAGAAAUCCAGCUGGCUAAUACCCGGUUGGGAUGACGGUACCCACAGAAUAAGCACCGGCUAACUUCGUGCCAGCAGCCGCGGUAA
rnacentral:rRNA from 1 species